CAUACAAAAAUUGCGGUAAAUUGGGAAUUCACCCAGAACGUAAUCCUUUUUAUGUUACUGUGAGGAACACUUUUCACCUUUUUCUUCUGUUGUGUCUUGCUGGACCUGUGAGUAGCAUCCUAAGAUUUUCUUUCAGGGUGUUGGUGCAUUUCCUCCUAUAGAAGAACUUAGAGCAGUUUUGUGUAGAUAUUGCAAUGGUUUCAUGACUGGGCUUUGCAUGUUGUUGAGUAAUUCUUAGUGAACACUCUUAUUUGGACGUGCUGAGUUCAUGAAGUUGGUAUUAUACCUUAUGUUCAUAUUUAUCAGGUAGAUAUACAUAUCUGCUUUAGUGCUUAUUUAUUAGCAUCAUCUUACGAGCGCUGCUUUAUGCCACUUCUAUCGGGGUGCUACUACAACACUGCCAGAUGAAAUCUGCUUAGCAAUCGCAAUCCAGCUCCUCUCUUCCCUCUACAAUUUUAUUAUAACAAGUUUCUGCAGCUCUAAAUAGCUGAGUGUAGCUUUGGAUUCCUUUCUGGCAGGAGCAUCGUGGCAAACGUUUCUUCAGAGAUCAGUGGAACCAUCUGUAUUACUCGGUGCUUGAUAGAAAGCUGUGUAUCCAGCCCUUCCCAGACUGUGCCACAUGGGAAGUACUGUGAACUCUUUGGAAUGAACAGUGGUAAUUAAGUGCUUAAAAUGGAGAAGGUUUUACAGUUGUGAAGCUGGCACACGUAUAGAUGUAUUCUUCAGAGAGCAGAGCAUUCUCAAGAGAAGCAAUUUUCUGGCUUAAACCUGACAAGCUGUUCCAAGAGGCAUUCAUCAAAUGAAGCCCUGGUACUUAUGCCAGACUGAAGCAUGUAGAGGUCCUCUCCAGCCCAUCAGGAAAAGAAGUCACGAUACCUUAGUCCUGAUAUGAAUUUUAACCAUAAAACUGUUCAGGCUCUCUAAAAAAAAACCAAUGCAGUAGACAGUGAAUUACGGGAAGAAAGGUCUUUUUUUAUGUUUCCGAUGGUAAGACACGAGACUAUUUAACCUUUUGAUAAGAUUGGCCUUGAUUUUCUGUGACUUUGGACUAAAAAAAUUUCUUUUUUCAAUUCUGGAUAUCACAAGACCAGACCCAGGCAGACUGUUUUCCAGUAACUAAAGGAAAAAAAAGUCAGGAAUUUGCAGUAAAAAUGAAAAACAAUUAUGCUAAGAAUAUUUUGUGAUACUUAGCAACUAAACAAAAGGUACAGUUUUCAAAUCCAACAUCUUCUUUCAUAAGCCUGAUGGAACGGUGGUUUAUAUACGUCUAAUAAAAUUGUAUCACUAUUCUUAUUCAGUUUCAUUAUAAGUUUUGCCAUGGAUUUCAUGGUAGCCAAGAUUUCAGCUGCAUAAUUAGGAAAAAGCGUUUACCUGAGAAAGGAGCACCACCUUUUUGGCUAGAGCACUUUUUGGGUACAUAGGUAACCUGACCUGUAAUGACCCAUUUGAAGCAAGAAGGUCAACCAAAAUCUGCUUUAUUUUGGGAGUGGGGUGGCUAAGCCAUCUUUCUACAGGUAUUCUUUCUCUUAGUCUUUCUUCCUCUCAGUCUUUCUUCUUAGCAUUUUUCCACUUUAUAUUAAAAAUGUACUAUUGCUUUUCUAUGUGUUUUACCUCUGAGCAAUUACAGAGGAGAUAUCUGCUGUUCUUCUCCCCGCCCCAAACCUUAAUUUGAUUUGCUCUGUUUUAAAUCUAUUUGUAAAAAAAGAGUGUUUAAAACUUUUUAAAGAAAGAAAAAAGGCAUCUCACUGCCAAUUAAUUUUCAUUCCCACUUUCAUCUUCUUGCUGCGACCAUUUCGUCACUGCAGAAGGAUAGGAUCUAAUCCUAUACUCCAGACACGCAAUGCCCUCCCUUUCCUUUCCCUACGGCGUUUACUUAGAGAGGAAUGAGGGCAUCGAGCUAAGCUUCAGCUCAUAGUUUAGGACUAAAUUAUCAGAAAGAAAUCCUUACAGUGAUAUGCAGAACCAUUUGUGAAAAAAGGGGCCUUUUUGUGCCCUCAGGCAUUGCUUAGGAACACAAAUUGCACUAUCCUAGAAAUAUCCCAGAGCUGCCCGUAGCGUAUCUCCCUUCCCCAGAAGCUGUUCCCUCACCUUCAGAAACUUUCCUCAGCAGGGAGAGUCCUGGGCAAUGCUUCUGCAAACACUGCCUACGUUUUGCAAGGAGGGUAGUUAUUGUCUGUUUGCUUUUUCUGUCAUCAUUUCAAAAACUUAUGUUCUUUUAAAGAAAGGCAAAGGAACAGGAUAAAAAAAUUUCUCCAGAUGGCAACCUCACAGAUGAGAAGGUGCUUCUUUUUCUCACUCUGUGAUUUGUUGAAAGCUUCCUACUCUUUUGCUGUUUUAAUUUCAUCUCGUUGGCAUGUUCCCAGUGAACCUGUUUUCCCCAUAUGUGAAUAUUCCUUUUUUUUUCUAAACCAAGGUAACACCAUUGGCAAAUGUCCCUGAAUGUAAAGGGCAGGUUUCUUUUCCUGUCAUUAUCAAUAAUACUUGUUUUAUCUCUUAAACACAUUUUUAUGUGCAUUGCCUCAAAAGGCUAACAGGAAAGCAUUGUGUUAUUUGACCUUAUGUUCUUGUGCGUAAAUAGUUGCUAAUCAAGGAUCUUUCCUUGCAUCUUGGGCAAAUAGUAACUGUAGUUCACAUCUCUUGUUUCUCCAAAGCUUUGAGAUAAUAGGUACAUUCUCAGACUCCUGAAGUGAUUUUUUCACCUGUUUUUGUGCAUAACUGGGUUACUGCCAGAUAAUGGGUGUGUGUGGCAGUGUACAGUCUGCUUAUUUAUACCAAUAAAGAGGAAAAGAAUUAAAAUUUAUCCCAUUGUACGUAUAAUGAAGGAAGGCAAAGGGAAAGUAAGGACUAUUUUGCCACAGAUAUUUAUCGUUUGCAAGACUGAACUUCUAGAUCACCUAUUGUCUAGUAAAGACAGUCUGGUACAGUGUAAAAUACCUGAGGAAUGACAGACUGGCUGUGCCUGUUCUAGUAGAGAAGUGUGCCAGGGCCUGGCUUGUGGCUUUGAUGGCAAAUGAGAUGACUUUUUGCCUGUGGCUUUUUCCCCUCCUCAUCUAUUUCCUAACCUGGAUGUUUUCUGGGAGAUUAGUAGUGGUCAUAAUCCAACUCUGUACUAGAGGAGCUAACAAUUUAGCAAUAUGGACAGUCAUGGCAACCUUGGUCUAUCUUUAAAUUAUAAUUUACUACUAAAGGUGUAGCCUCGAAACCUAUUGAAUUAACUUAGAGCAAUGGAGUGCUGUUUAAAAGCACUUGGGUCCAGGCAGAAACCAAUCAAUACAUUCUCAUUUUAGCUUGGCCAAAUCCUGCUUAAGUUUUCCUGCUUAAGUCUUGGUUUCCCUUCCAUGGGAAAAGGAAAGGCUUCUUUGAAUAGCUAUUAACCCUCCACUGGGAGAACUUCCCAGUAGUAAGCCUGGGUCCUGUUUCUUCCUGGACUGAUUGAUAUGAAAGAAAGAUUUGAACCCACAUCUGCUUCCACUUUGAAGAGUUCUUUGUCUGAAAGAACAUGUGUUGGAACCAUUCUAGUUUGUAUUAAACAAUUAUCCACUGAACCAGAGAAAGUGAGAGAGUAAGAGAACAGUUGGAUAUGUUCGUCUAAUUGGAAACAGAGGGGUGAAUCUACUCAGUUGUGUCUGCAGCUGAGACAUGAUGACUCGUCCUGUGCUUGUUUGUAGUCAUUUGCAAUGCAUAGCAAAUCAAUAAUAAAGCUGAUUUGUGCUCCUUUUUCUGAUGAAGUGCCCUCCUAAAAGAUGUGAAUUUCACAGCUUACAAUUAGUUGAUUGUGUGCCUGAUUGUCUACAUGAAUGUUUGUGUCUUUUUCAAUAGAAAUGGAUGGGGGAAAUUGAACUGAUACUGAAACUGCAUCCUCAUUGAUAGCAGUGACUUGUGAUUUGGAGUUUAUUUUGCUGGGUCACUGUGCACGUUUGUCUAAAUUCUCAGCUGGUGAAAUACAUGUGUAUGUUAUCAUAGGUAAAUAACCAUGAAAUAAAAUUUCCUACUUAACUUCAUGCCUCUGCAUGUUAACCAACACUUCCAAGAAGAUUCUGUCUUUGAUUUCAUUUAAAAAACUGUUGUAGAUGGUUAAUGUGCAGAGAAUAGAGAGGUCGAGAGGUAUGUUUUCUUCUUCUCUUAUUGAAUGUUAGACACAUAAAGACUGUAAAGUAAUUAACAUAUUGAUUUAUAGUAAAUAUAAAUUAACCUCAUAAUUCCCUAAAUGAAAUGUAGACCAAAG